GUGUAGGCGGAGAUGCAAGUUGGGAGUGAAAUCCCGGGGCUCAACCCCGGAACUGCUUUCAAAACUGUAUCCCUUGAGUAUCGGAGAGGCAAGCGGAAUUCCUAGUGUAGCGGUGAAAUGCGUAGAUAUUAGGAGGAACACCAGUGGCGAAGGCGGCUUGCUGGACGACAACUGACGCUGAGGCGCGAAAGCGUGGGGAGCAAACAGGAUUAGAUACCCUGGUAGUCCACGCUGUAAACGAUGAAUACUAGGUGUGGGAGGGCUGACCCCUUCCGUGCCGCAGUUAACACAAUAAGUAUUCCACCUGGGGAGUACGACCGCAAGGUUGAAACUCAAAGGAAUUGACGGGGGCCCGCACAAGCAGUGGAUUAUGUGGUUUAAUUCGACGCAACGCGAAGAACCUUACCAGGACUUGACAUCCAACUAACGAAGUAGAGAUACAUUAGGUGCCCUUCGGGGAAAGUUGAGACAGGUGGUGCAUGGUUGUCGUCAGCUCGUGUCGUGAGAUGUUGGGUUAAGUCCCGCAACGAGCGCAACCCCUAUUGUUAGUUGCUACGCAAGAGCACUCUAGCGAGACUGCCGUUGACAAAACGGAGGAAGGCGGGGACGACGUCAAAUCAUCAUGCCCCUUAUGUCCUGGGCUACACACGUAAUACAAUGGCCGUCAACAAAGGGAAGCAAAGCCGCGAGGUGGAGCAAACCCCCAAAAACGGUCUCAGUUCGGAUUGCAGGCUGCAACUCGCCUGCAUGAAGCUG
rnacentral:rRNA from 1 species